AUUGAACGCUGGCGGCAUGCCUUACACAUGCAAGUCGAACGGCAGCACGGGAGCAAUCCUGGUGGCGAGUGGCGAACGGGUGAGUAAAGUAUCGGAACGUGCCCAGUCGUGGGGGAUAACGUAGCGAAAGUUACGCAAAUACCGCAUACGAUCUAUGGAUGAAAGCGGGGGAUCACAAGACCUCGCGCGAUUGGAGCGGCCGAUAUCAGAUUAGGUAGUUGGUGGGGUAAAGGCUCACCAAGCCGACGAUCUGUAGCUGGUCUGAGAGGACGACCAGCCACACUGGGACUGAGACACGGCCCAGACUCCUACGGGAGGCAGCAGUGGGGAAUUUUGGACAAUGGGCGAAAGCCUGAUCCAGCCAUGCCGCGUGCAGGAUGAAGGCCUUCGGGUUGUAAACUGCUUUUGUACGGAACGAAAAGGUUUGGCCUAAUAAGCUGAGCUCAUGACGGUACCGUAAGAAUAAGCACCGGCUAACUACGUGCCAGCAGCCGCAGUAACAC
rnacentral:rRNA from 1 species